rnacentral:rRNA from 1 species
CAUGCAGUCGAACGCUGAAGCUUGGUGCUUGCACUGGGUGGAUGAGUGGCGAACGGGUGAGUAAUACGUGAGUAACCUGCCCUUGACUCUGGGAUAAGCCUGGGAAACUGGGUCUAAUACUGGAUACGACAUGUCACCGCAUGGUGGUGUGUGGAAAGGGUUUUACUGGUUUUGGAUGGGCUCACGGCCUAUCAGCUUGUUGGUGGGGUAAUGGCUCACCAAGGCGACGACGGGUAGCCGGCCUGAGAGGGUGACCGGCCACACUGGGACUGAGACACGGCCCAGACUCCUACGGGAGGCAGCAGUGGGGAAUAUUGCACAAUGGGCGAAAGCCUGAUGCAGCGACGCCGCGUGAGGGAUGACGGCCUUCGGGUUGUAAACCUCUUUCAGCACGGAAGAAGCGAAAGUGACGGUACGUGCAGAAGAAGCGCCGGCUAACUACGUGCCAGCAGCCGCGGUAAUACGUAGGGCGCAAGCGUUGUCCGGAAUUAUUGGGCGUAAAGAGCUCGUAGGCGGUUUGUCGCGUCUGCUGUGAAAGCCCGGGGCUUAACCCCGGGUGUGCAGUGGGUACGGGCAGACUUGAGUGCAGUAGGGGAGACUGGAAUUCCUGGUGUAGCGGUGAAAUGCGCAGAUAUCAGGAGGAACACCGAUGGCGAACGCAGGUCUCUGGGCUGUUACUGACGCUGAUGAGCGAAAGCAUGGGGAGCGAACAGGAUUAGAUACCCUGGUAGUCCAUGCCGUAAACGUUGGGCACUAGGUGUGGGGAACAUUCCACGUUUUCCGCGCCGUAGCUAACGCAUUAAGUGCCCCGCCUGGGGGAGUACGGCCGCAAGGCUAAAACUCAAAUGAAUUGACGGGGGCCCGCACAAACGGCGGAGCAUGCGGAUUAAUUCGAUGCAACGCGGAAGAACCUUACCAAAGGCUUGACAUACACCGGAACCGGGCC